rnacentral:rRNA from 1 species
CACCUGUUCCCAUUUCGAACACAGAAGUUAAGCCGUUUCCGGCCGAUGGUACUGCGAUUGCGGGAGAGUAGGUUAACGCCGCCU